GUAGACGUGGCAGACAGAAAUCUAAACAUCACCCAAAGCAGUGAAGUCCCAGGCAUUAAUCUUCAACAAAUAUUUAUUGAAAUCUGGCAGUCCAGACAUGCUUAUUCCAGGAGAAGCUGACAAGUAAAAGAGGGAGAAAGAGAGACAGGCAUGCGACCAAGCACAGUUUAUUUUCACAAGCUGCAUGCUAGCGAACAAAGACCUAGGAGAGCACAUCAAAAAAGGCAAUAUGUUCUGGCUGGGGGCUUGGAGCAGUCUGGAAGAACUCACAGAAGUGAUGACAUUCAAAGAAGGCCUGAGGAAGUAAAGAAAUUCACCGGGCAGAGAAAGAAGGGAAGGACAUUUUACAUCAGAGUGGGAACAGCACGAGCAUAUCAUGGCAGCGAAGAGCAUAUGGCACUUUUAUGAUAGAACGUAAGAUGCAGAGGUGGGAAGGUGGCAGAGGACAUUCAAAAGUGACGUUGCAGUCAUAUUCUGAGGGAUCUGACAGAUGAGCUGUUAAGAAAUAUGGACUCUGUUCUAUCAGUAUUAUGAAAUCAUUGAAUCAUUCAUUCAUUGAAAUGGUAUUUUCGGAGGACUUACUAUGUGCUAAGUACUGUGUCAGCCUCUGAAGAUUAAAAUAAAAAGGAAGGCCCUCCAGGGACUCACAGUCUGGUAGGGAGAAAGGCAGGCAAACAGUCACAGUACGGGGGCCAGAGUGUUCAUGAACGCAGUCUCAGGUCUGAAGGAGAGCUCUGUGCUAGAAUAAAACAAAAUCACCCAGUAGAUCAGAAUCUACUCACGAAUGCUCCACGUGGCUAAUGCUGCUUGCUGGUUUCCGUUGCUCUCGUCAGCUUUGGACCCUCCCCCUGUACUGUUGGCGAGAGUUCUUGGGGGGUUUCGGGGACAUUGUAGCUGGCAGUAGUGUUCAUGCCUCUACUUUACUGGCAGUAACAAUUAGAAUUGGUCCAGGCUGUACAAAAGAGAAAUCCACAAAUACCAAUUGCAUGAGCAUCAUUUUCUCAUGAAACUUUUCUCGCAUCACAGAAGAUGAGUUAGGCAGACAGGGCUGGGAAGGGAGGCUCGUAGGUUCAUUAGCAACCCAGAUUUUGUCUAUCUGCAACUUUAGCUUGUCAUUUCUAUCCUCAAGGGCAUCAUAAGCUUUUAAAGCUCCAGCCAUUCUACCUGCCAUCCAAGCAGUGAGAAGAGGAGAGAGAGAGGAAGACAAAUAGGAGAAGAGCUUUCUAUACAGCAUUCCUGGAUGUCUCGUCCAACAUUUGUUGGAUGUUAUUGGAUGUUCCAUCAUACUUGUGGGCCAGGACUUAGUUAAAUGGCUACACCUUGCUACAAGGAAGUCUGGGAAAUACAGUCUUUCAGCUGGAUACAUCCCCCUGGCCUGAAUAAAAGCUGGGUUCUCUUACAAAGCACAAAAAGGGGAUUGAAUAUUGGUUAGGCACCUGUCAAUCUUUCAUAUCAGCCCACGUGAGAUAGCCAGGGUUUGGUGAAAUAAAAUGCUGUUUCUCCUCAAAACACUUCUCUCUUCCUGAUUGGGGAGGGACCCUGUUCUCUGCAGAGAAAUUCUUUCUCAUGACAGGGCCAACAUGUCUGCCAAAAGACAGCAAUAGGACUUCCCAAUCAUUCUAUAUAUUUAAGGGAGACUUUUUAAAAACUACAAUACGGUUGAACUCAUGUGAUUUUUUUUUUUGCCAUGAAGUUUCUUGUUAAGCAUUGAACAUUUAAAAGUAAAUUUUGACUAAUGUGAAAUAAAAGAAUGUUACUUGAAGCAA
rnacentral:lncRNA from 1 species